CGUGACCACAGGGCGGGGGUGCGCGGUAAUCUGGAGGGUGCGGUCGUUAUGCUGCUUUACGUGGUGUUAAGGGUGCGUAUGUGGAUUUGUAAGUCUGUGUUGAAAUCUCCAGGCUUAAUCUGGAAACGGCCUGGGAUACGAUAAAUCUUGGAUGUUGUGUAGGGUAGCUGAAUAUGUCAUGUAGCGGUGAAAUGCAUAGAUAUGACAUAGAACACCAAUUGCGAAGGCAGCUGGCUACACAAAUAUUGACGCUGAGGCACGAAAGCGUGGGGAUCAAACAGGAUUAGAUACCCUUGUAGUC
rnacentral:rRNA from 1 species